rnacentral:lncRNA from 1 species
UGUUUUCCACUCUUCUUUUGGGUCAGAUAACUCAAUACCUACAAGACAGAUGUGGGAAGGAAUCAGACUGCCUACACCCCUAUAAGAGUGCCACCCCUGGAGACUCUAUCAAAGACAGAAGAGGGAUGAAUAUCAGGCUGCAGAUUUUCCUCCAGCUGGAGGUGACAGACAGCUCUGGUCCAGAUUGCAUCUACAGACAACCGAUCUGGGAAUUGUCUUGAAUGCCUUCCAUUCGUCAUAUUGUCAUGCUGCCUGUGAAAUCUCA